UGUGUACUCCCUCCGUUCCAAAAUACUUGACUUCCAUUUGUCCAGAAAUGGAUGUACCUAUAUACUAAAACAUGUCUAGAUACAUAUAUAUUUUGACAAAUAGAAGGCAUGUAUUGUGCAACAGAGGGAGUAGAAU
rnacentral:pre_miRNA from 1 species